GAUUGGGAUAUUUGGAAAAAAAUAUUUAUUAUCAUUAUUAUUUUAUUUUUGAAAGGAUAUUGAAAUGCAUGCACUUCAUUUUAUUCCCCAUUCCUUCUUCCUCCUUCGACACACCCUAGCAGCGGCUCCUCUUCACCUUUCUACCAUCGACGACUGCAGCUGCUCAGUCCACGCUCAAACGAAGUUGUCCACUUCGCGUCAAAGGUCGAACGAUUUUGAAGCUUCGUCUUCGUCGCAUCCUCUUCUCUGUCACAAGUCUCCACCAUGCAUUGUAGAUCAAAGUCGUUUCCAUCACAAGCUGCGCAUCCCGAACGUUCCUUCGCAAGCCGAAAGUGUUCUAGCCGACGUUCCUCCGUCUGCCGACUACUGAAGCUCAACCUGUAGUCGAUCUUCCUCUGAGUCACAUGCGUGCAAGAAAUCUGAUCUACCCCUCCUCGCGAAGCCGAGCCACGUGUCCCAUCCAAGCUAACCUCCUCCUUGAAGUGAGUCGAUGCUCCCGUGUUCAAGCCAUCUCCAUCCUAAGCCAUUUAGCAAGCCAAAACUCAUUUUUCCUUAAGCCAUUGGGGCUAUCUAAUAUUUUGGUAAGUUUGUUGGGUUUUGUUCGCCCAAAUAAUUAUCCCUUGGAUUCUAAAUAAGUUUACAAUUUGAAAUGAGUUGGAUUAUUUUUACUUGAAAGUUGACUAAUUUUGUUGGAGUAUUAUUAGAGUUGUGAUUUUCUCCCAACCAAGGUUGAAUUGGUUUCAAACUCCUCCGUUGGUUUUACUUGUUGGAAGCUGGAAUAAAUUUGAUUUAGUUAAUCUCGAGGUAAGAGAUUCUACUAUUAGACCAUUAUAUUAUGAUUUCCCUUAGUAUGCAUUAACGUAGCUAUGAUGCAUGUUAAGGAUGUUAGCCAAUGAUAGCUACAUAGAAAAUCUUUUAUGUUAUGAAUGUGAUAUACCAUGGUUGAGAUAAAUGAGGUACACUACGGUUGAGAUGCCUUA